AUUGAACGCUGGCGGCAGGCCUAACACAUGCGAGUCGAACGGUAACAGGAAGCAGCUUGCUGCUUUGCUGACGAGUGGCGGACGGGUGAGUAAUGUCUGGGAAACUGCCCGAUGGAGGGGGAUAACUACUGGAAACGGUAGCUAAUACCGCAUAACGUCGCAAGACCAAAGAGGGGGACCUUAGGGCCUCUUGCCAUCGGAUGUGCCCAGAUGGGAUUAGCUAGUAGGUGGGGUAACGGCUCACCUAGGCGACGAUCCCUAGCUGGUCUGAGAGGAUGACCAGCCACACUGGAACUGAGACACGGUCCAGACUCCUACGGGAGGCAGCCGUGGGGAAUAUUGCACAAUGGGCGCAAGCCUGAUGCAGCCAUGCCGCGUGUAUGAAGAAGGCCUUCGGGUUGUAAAGUACUUUCAGCGGGGAGGAAGGGAGUAAAGUUAAUACCUUUGCUCAUUGACGUUACCCGAAGAAGAAGCACCGGCUAACUCCGUG
rnacentral:rRNA from 1 species